UUCACUCGAUUGUCAUAGGGAUUUCUCUAGGUGCUUCAAAUAAUACUUGCACAAUUAAAGGACUCGUUGCUGCACUUUGCUUUCAUCAAAUGUUUGAAGGAAUGGGACUUGGUGGUUGCAUUCUCCAGGCAAGUUUUCAUUUUACAACAUAUAAUAAUAAAAAUAAUUCUCGAUCGGUUCACUUUCACUAAUUCAAAUGCACAUUCAGGCCGAGUACAAGUUCUUGAAGAAGGCAAUAAUGGCAUUCUUCUUCGCAGUAACAACUCCAUUCGGUAUAGCACUUGGGAUAGCACUUUCAAGCACUUACGAGGAAAAUAGCCCUCGGGCAUUAAUAACC
rnacentral:lncRNA from 1 species